rfam:Oryza meridionalis cultivar OR44 (W2112) chromosome 11, whole genome shotgun sequence.
AAUAAGUGUAGUUGUGGAUUUCCGUGUCCAAUAUUUAACUAUCCGUCUUAUUUUUUAAAAAAAUUAUGAUUAGUAUUUUUAUUGUUAUUAGAUGAUAGAAUAUAAAUAGUACUUUAUGUGUGACUAGUAUAUUUUAAAUUUUUUAUAAAUUUUUUAAAUAAGAUGGACGAUCAAACGUUGGACAUGGAAACCCAUAACUGCNNNNNNN